UACGUAGGGGGCAAGCGUUGUCCGGAAUCAUUGGGCGUAAAGCGCGCGUAGGUGGCCCGGUAAGUCCGCUCUGAAAGUCACAGGCUCAACCUGUGAAAGCGGGUGGAUACUGCCGGGCUAGAGUCCGGAAGAGGCGAGUGGAAUUCCUGGUGUAGCGGUGGAAUGCGCAGAUAUCAGGAGGAACACCAACGGCGAAGGCAGCUCGCUGGGACGGUACUGACACUGAGGCGCGAAAGCGUGGGGAGCGAACAGG
rnacentral:rRNA from 1 species